ACUUAAAUAGUUUAAUAAAAAUUUCGAUUUGUGGUAUCGGGGAUAUAAUAGUAUUAUUUUAGGUU
rnacentral:tRNA from 1 species